rnacentral:ncRNA from 1 species
CCUAGGGGAGCCCAACCACGGCUGAGAUUCUGCAUUGACUGCAGUAACCCUUCGAACCUGAUCCGGGUAAUGCCGACGAAGGGAAGGAAAA